GCGGGAAUAGCUCAGUUGGUAGAGCGCAACCUUGCCAAGGUUGAGGUCGCGAGUUCGAGCCUCGUUUCCCGUUCCA
rnacentral:tRNA from 1 species